rnacentral:tRNA from 1 species
CGGGUGUAGCUCAAUUGGUAGAGCACCAGCCUUCCAAGCUGGGGGUUGUGGGUUCGAGACCCAUCGCC